UACGGAGGGGGCUAGCGUUGUUCGGAAUUACUGGGCGUAAAGCGCACGUAGGCGGCUUUGCAAGUUAGAGGUGAAAGCCCGGGGCUCAACUCCGGAAUUGCCUUUAAAACUGCAUCGCUAGAAUUGUGGAGAGGUAAGUGGAAUUCCGAGUGUAGAGGUGAAAUUCGUAGAUAUUCGGAAGAACACCAGUGGCGAAGGCGACUUACUGGACACAUAUUGACGCUGAGGUGCGAAAGCGUGGGGGGCAAACAGG
rnacentral:rRNA from 1 species